rnacentral:rRNA from 1 species
CCUACGGGAGGCAGCAGUGAGGAAUAUUGGUCAAUGGACGAGAGUCUGAACCAGCCAAGUAGCGUGAAGGAUGACUGCCCUAUGGGUUGUAAACUUCUUUUAUAUGGGAAUAAAACGUUCCACGUGUGGGAUUUUGUAUGUACCAUAUGAAUAAGGAUCGGCUAACUCCGUGCCAGCAGCCGCUGUAAUACGGAGGAUCCGAGCGUUAUCCGGAUUUAUUGGGUUUAAAGGGAGCGUAGGUGGAUUGUUAAGUCAGUUGUGAAAGUUUGCGGCUCAACCGUAAAAUUGCAGUUGAAACUGGCAGUCUUGAGUACAGUAGAGGUGGGCGGAAUUCGUGGUGUAGCGGUGAAAUGCUUAGAUAUCACGAAGAACUCCGAUUGCGAAGGCAGUUCACUGGACUGCAACUGACACUGAGGCUCGAAAGUGUGGGUAUCAAACAGGAUUAGAUACCCCGGUAGUC